rnacentral:rRNA from 1 species
GUGAGGAAUUUUCCGCAAUGGGCGAAAGCCUGACGGAGCAAUGCCGCGUGAAGGAUGAAGGCCUAUGGGUUGUAAACUUCUUUUCUCAGAAAAGAAUUAUGACGGUAUCUGAGGAAUAAGCAUCGGCUAACUCUGUGCCAGCAGCCGCGGUAAGACAGAGGAUGCAAGCGUUAUCCGGAAUGAUUGGGCGUAAAGCGUCUGUAGGUUGUUUAAAAAGUAUUCUGUCAAAGAUUAGGCUUAACCCUAGAUAGGCAGAAUAAACUUUUAAGCUAGAGUUUGGUAGAGGCAGAGGGAAUUCCCGGUGGAGCGGUGAAAUGCGUAGAUAUCGGGAGGAACACCAAAGGCGAAGGCACUCUGCUGGGCCAAUACUAACACUGAGAGACGAAAGCGAGGGGAGCAAAUGGGAUUAGAAACCCGGGUAGUCC